ACGAACGCUGGCGGCGUGCUUAACACAUGCAAGUCGAACGGAAAGGCCCUGCUUUUGUGGGGUGCUCGAGUGGCGAACGGGUGAGUAACACGUGAGUAACCUGCCCUUGACUUUGGGAUAACUUCAGGAAACUGGGGCUAAUACCGGAUAGGAGCUCCUGCUGCCUGGUGGGGGUUGGAAAGUUUCGGCGGUUGGGGAUGGACUCGCGGCUUAUCCGCUUGUUGGUGGGGUAGUGGCUUACCAAGGCUUUGACGGGUAGCCGGCCUGAGAGGGUGACCGGCGACAUUGGGACUGAGAUACGGCCCAGACUCCUACGGGAGGCAGCAGUGGGGAAUAUUGCACAAUGGGCGGAAGCCUGAUGCAGAAACGCCGCGGGCGGGAUGACGGCCUUCGGGUUGUAAACCGCUUUCGCCUGUGACGAAGCGUGAGUGACGGUAAUGGGUAAAGAAGCACCGGCUAACUACGUG
rnacentral:rRNA from 1 species